AAUAAUAUAAUAAUUUGAUAAUAUGAAAGUCACAAUUAAAGUAAAUAAUGUUUAACUAAAAUGGUUUCAGUUAAUCAAUAUUUAAAUAAUUAUGCUGCAAAUAUUUUAAUUAAAAAUCUGAUUAAUGGAUAACUUAAAAAAAAUUUGAAUUGCUUGAAAUCCAUUAAUCAAAUAUAAUUAAAACAUGAAUCAAAUAAAUACUAAAACCAAACUGUUAGGUCCUGAAACGAUUGUAGAAGGGGGGUUGAAUACAAUCGUCACUAAAAAAUCGCGGCGGAA
rnacentral:lncRNA from 1 species